GACAUUUCAAAUCACAAAUGACUGUCAACAUAAAAGUUGAGGGAUACUUUUAAUACCUUCACUUUCAUCCUCAGACUGACCGUUACAAGAACUGCAUUUUGUUCGGGGGCAAAACACGUUAACAGGUUUAACAAAAGCAUGUGGACAGUAGUUGGCAUGUUCGCCUCUGUGUGCCCCACUGGGACCGGCGGCUGCUGAUCCACAGAGGAAUACACAAGCCCCUCUAGGAACAUGCUCGAUUCACCUAUCCUCUCCUUUCACCAGGAUGCACGCACACAGACACUUCUGUCCUUAUCCAUUUUGGAUAGUGUGUCUGGGAGGUGCAUAGGAGUGUCUGGGAGGUGCAUGGGAGUGUCUGGGAGGUGCAUGGGAGUGUCUGGGAGGUGCAUAAGUGUCUGGGAGGUGCAUGGGAGUGUCUGGGAGGUGCAUGGGAGUGUCUGGGAGGUGCAUGGGAGUGUCUGGGAGGUGCAUGGGAGUGUCUGGGAGGUGCAUGGGAGUGUCUGGGAGGUGCAUGGGAGUGUCUGGGAGGUGCAUGGGAGUGUCUGGGAGGUGCAUGGGAGUGUCUGGGAGGUGCAUAGGAGUGUCUGGGAGGUGCAUAGGAGUGUCUGGGAGGUGCAUAGGAGUGUCGUUGCAACCUCAUCUGACUACAGAAAAAUCACUCAAGCUUUGUCAUUCAAGUUAAGUUUAGUGAUAAAAAUUACUUUUGUGGUACUACAUACAGUAUUUGGGUAAACUGUCAUUAAUAUGAAGUUAUAUUGUUUUGGCUGGGAUUCAACUCGCUCAGUAUUCAAAACAGGUACUAUAGGUUGUGUUUGGGAUGGCUCUCUAUUUUUCUCUGUACCAAUAGGGCAGGAAAUGUCUACUUUGCGAGGAUUUCAAAGUCCUACUUGAGUUGUUAGUUAGUGCUUAUUGUAUGCAAACCUUUGGAGUAUGUGCAUAAAUCCUAAUGUGUGGCCGAUCUGAUAAGACCAGGUAUAUGUAACUGAGAUUAGGUCAUAUCAUAAAAAGUGUGUUUUUGUCCAGCCAAAUACAAAUAUGAGAAACAUUUGGAUGAUGCAUCUAAUUCCACAUCUAUCUCAGUAGUUUCAUUGCAUAUUGUCCAGAACAAUCCUGAUUGUAAAGAAGAUGAGA